UACGGGGGGGGCAAGCGUUGUUCGGAAUUACUGGGCGUAAAGGGCUCGUAGGUGGCCAACUAAGUCAGACGUGAAAUCCCUCAGCUUAACUGGGGAAUUGCGUCUGAUACUGGAUGGCUUGAGUUUGGGAGAGGGACGCGGAAUUCCAGGUGUAGCGGUGAAAUGCGUAGAUAUCUGGAGGAACACCGGUGGCGAAGGCGGCAUCCUGGACCAACACUGACACUGAGGAGCGAAAGCCAGGGGAGCAAACGGG
rnacentral:rRNA from 1 species